rnacentral:rRNA from 1 species
CGUGGAGACAGGUGGUGCAUGGUUGUCGUCAGCUCGUGUCGUGAGAUGUUGGGUUAAGUCCCGCAACGAGCGCAACCCUCACCUCUUGUUGCCAUCAGGUCAUGCUGGGCACUCUAGAGGAACUGCCCCGGUCAACGGGGAGGAAGGCGGGGAUGACGUCAAGUCAUCAUGCCCCUUACGUCCUGGGCUACACACGUGCUACAAUGGCCGGUACAAAGGGAUGCCACACCGCGAGGUAGAGCUAAACCCAAAAAGCCGGUCUAAGUUCAGAUUGGAGUCUGCAACUCGACUCCAUGAAGGAGGAAUCGCUAGUAAUCGCGUAUCAGCACGACGCGGUGAAUACGUUCCCGGGCCUUGUACACACCGCCCGUCACACCACGAAAGCCUGCUGUACUCGAAGUCGCUGAG